rnacentral:lncRNA from 1 species
GUGCAAGUCAGCUCUGGGUGGGUAGCUGCCUUUUCAAUAGAUGGAGAAGGGAGGGAAGGGCUUCGCAGGCUGGAAGCACAGCACUGAGGGUGUGGCGAGCUCCAGCAAGGGUGAGCAGCCACGGGGGCGGCCGUGGUGCUGGCAGAUGAACCAUGCCAAUAUGGAGGGAGCGAGGGACAGAUUUUAAUAAGCCACGGUGAGGACGGUGGAUUCUGCUCGCAGGCAAAGGAUAGUGACUGAAGCUUCUGGAACAGUGACAUGUACCUGACAUCUAGUUUUGACAAGAGAGUGCUGGCCCUGAUGGCCAGCCAGGGUUUGCCCCGUGGCUCGAGGUUACCGGUACUUUGUGUACUUUUCCCCCAAGGCUGUAGGAGAAAUAAGAACUCUAGCCAGAUUUGCUGGGCUCUUCUCUCUGUAGCCUAGUGCUCUGGGGACCUAUCUGGCUUAGAGGCGGGUUUGUCUUUGGAGUGCUUUCUUGAGAAAGGAGUGCUCUCUGCAAACCCUCUCUCCCUUCCCUCUCUUCACCCUGGAGAUUGUCUUUACAUUCAGCUUGAGACUGCGCUGAAAGAUCCUUGGUACCUCUGUGGUCUCUUGAGUGGACUGCCCGACCCAGUGGGCAAGGAGCCCCCACGUCUGGCAGACCAAGCCAGCCCAUUCCUCACAUGUCAUGGAUUUUCCUGGAGGGAAACAGCGGAUGCCACAUGGUCAUGGCUUGAAAGGAUUCCAUGCUGUCUGCACAAAUAGAGACUGGAGCCUCUGGGAACAGCCUUGCUCUCACCUCACUCCCAGAAAGCCUCCCUGCCCUGGCCCGUGCAAACAGGCAGUGAAUUGUUGCUCUCACUUCUACACACUGAUGUACUGUGGGGCUGAGGCUUGGGGUUUUUGCCUUAAAAAAAAUAAAUC